AGUCGGCCCUGCCCGGUGGGUAAGUAUACCUAAACGGUCGCAAUGAAGAGUUGUGCUAAGGUAGCGCAAUAAAUUGUCCUUUAAUUGGGGAAAUGAAUGAAGGGGUUGACGAGGGGGAAGCUGUCUUUUUAAUAUAGUUCGAAGUUUUCUUUUAUGUGAAAAGACUUAGAUUUUACAAUAAGAAGAGAAGACCCCGGCGAGCUUGUUAAGGUUUAAUAACGUUUAUUAAUUAUUGAUUUUUGUUGGGGCAACGCAAAGGGAAAAAAACUCCUUUGUAUUAAAUAAGGAUCCACUCAGAGUGAAUCAAGCAAAAGCUACCGUGGGGAUAACAGCGCAAUUUUUUCAGAGAGUUCAUAUCGAAGAGAAAGCUUGCGACCUCGAUGUUGGAUUAAGAUUUCCUUUUGGUGCAGGAGUUAAAAAGGUAGGACUGUUCGUCCUUUAAAAUCUU
rnacentral:rRNA from 1 species